rnacentral:lncRNA from 1 species
GUUCCUCACACUGUUCACACUCACUCUGAAGGCUCAUGGCUUUCAGUAGUGCUGGUUUUCUCUGUUAUUGGUUUAUUUCUGUCUGGACUCGUAGGAUUCAUCUGUCUGUGCCGCUUCACCAGUUCUGCUGAUGUUCUCACAGAGCUGAACUACACCUCCUGCCAGCUGGAAACAACGGCUCUUUUAACCUCUUCUGUCUGCCCCUCAAAACAUGGAUGACUGUCAGGAUCAUGGACCUGUUUUGUUGUGUUUUGC